GUGGGGAAUAUUGGACAAUGGGCGAAAGCCUGAUCCAGCAAUGCCGCGUGAGUGAUGAAGGCCUUCGGGUUGUAAAGCUCUUUUACCAGGGAUGAUAAUGACAGUACCUGGAGAAUAAGCUCCGGCUAACUCCGUGCCAGCAGCCGCGGUAAUACGGAGGGAGCUAGCGUUGUUCGGAAUUACUGGGCGUAAAGCGCACGUAGGCGGUUACUCAAGUCAGAGGUGCAAGCCCGGGGCUCAACCCCGGAACGGGCUUUGAAACUAGGUAACUAGAAUCUUGGAGAGGUCAGUGGAAUUCCGAGUGUAGAGGUGAAAUUCGUAGAUAUUCGGAAGAACACCAGUGGCGAAGGCGACUGACUGGACAAGUAUUGACGCUGAGGUGCGAAAGCGUGGGGAGCAAACAGGAUUAGAAACCCCAGUAGUCC
rnacentral:rRNA from 1 species